UACGGGGGGUGCGAGCGUUGUCCGGAAUCACUGGGCGUAAAGGGCGCGUAGGUGGUUUGAUAAGGGUGUGGUGAAAGUCCGGGGCUCAACCCCGGAUCUGCCGUGCCGACUGUCAAACUCGAGGGCUGUAGAGGCAGACGGAAUUCCGGGUGUAGCGGUGGAAUGCGUAGAGAUCCGGAGGAAGACCGGUGGCGAAGGCGGUCUGCUGGGCCGUACCUGACACUGAUGCGCGACAGCAUGGGGAGCAAACAGG
rnacentral:rRNA from 1 species